rnacentral:tRNA from 1 species
GGGAAGGUGGCUCAGUGGUAGAGCACUUGCCUUGCAUGCAGGAGGCCCUGUUCA